rnacentral:rRNA from 1 species
UCGGAAGCUAAGCAGGGUCGGGCCUGGUUAGUACUUGGGUAGGAGACUGCCUGGGAAUGCCAGGUGCUGUAAGCUU